CCUACGGGAGGCAGCAGUGGGGAAUAUUGCACAAUGGGCGCAAGCCUGAUGCAGCCAUGCCGCGUGUGUGAAGAAGGCCUUCGGGUUGUAAAGCACUUUCAGCGGGGAGGAAGGCGUUAAGGUUAAUAACCUUGUCGAUUGACGUUACCCGCAGAAGAAGCACCGGCUAACUCCGUGCCAGCAGCCGCGGUAAUACGGAGGGUGCAAGCGUUAAUCGGAAUUACUGGGCGUAAAGCGCACGCAGGCGGUCUGUCAAGUCGGAUGUGAAAUCCCCGGGCUCAACCUGGGAACUGCAUUCGAUACUGGCAGGCUAGAGUCUUGUAGAGGGGGGUAGAAUUCCAGGUGUAGCGGUGAAAUGCGUAGAGAUCUGGAGGAAUACCGGUGGCGAAGGCGGCCCCCUGGACAAAGACUGACGCUCAGGUGCGAAAGCGUGGGGAGCAAACAGGAUUAGAUACCCGAGUAGUC
rnacentral:rRNA from 1 species